rnacentral:lncRNA from 1 species
CCUCUGUCUCUUUCCUCCUCUCAGUAGAAACUAAACCAGGUUACUGUGAACCUCCUGUAUUCUCUGUCCUCUUCUCAGUAGAAACUAAACCAGGUUCCUGUGAACCUCCUGUAUCCUCUAUCUCUUUCCUCCUCUCAGUAGAAACUAAACCAGGUUACUGUGAUCCUCCUGUAUCCUCUGUCCUCCUCUCAGUAGAAACUAAACCAGGUUACUGUGAUCCUCCUGUAUUCUCUGUCCUCUUCUCAGUAGAAACUAAACCAGGUUCCUGUGAACCUCCUGUAUUCUCUGUCCUCUUCUCAGUAGAAACUAAACCAGGUUACUGUGAACCUCCUGUAUCCUCUGUCUCUUUCCUCCUCUCAGUAGAAACUAAACCAGGUUACUGUGAACCUCCUGUAUUCUCUGUCCUCUUCUCAGUAGAAACUAAACCAGGUUCCUGUGAACCUCCUGUAUCCUCUGUCUCUAAGGGUUCACCGGUGGAGAGACUGAGACCAUUAUAAAACAGAGACCAGUCAGUGUUUUGGGCUGAUUGCCGCAUUCCUUCAUUCUGUGACUCAUUGUUCUGUUG